rnacentral:rRNA from 1 species
GGCGGACGGGUGAGUAAUGUAUGGGGAUCUGCCCGAUAGAGGGGGAUAACUACUGGAAACGGUGGCUAAUACCGCAUAAUGUCUACGGACCAAAGCAGGGGCUCUUCGGACCUUGCACUAUCGGAUGAACCCAUAUGGGAUUAGCUAGUAGGUGGGGUAAAGGCUCACCUAGGCGACGAUCUCUAGCUGGUCUGAGAGGAUGAUCAGCCACACUGGGACUGAGACACGGCCCAGACUCCUACGGGAGGCAGCAGUGGGGAAUAUUGCACAAUGGGCGCAAGCCUGAUGCAGCCAUGCCGCGUGUAUGAAGAAGGCCUUAGGGUUGUAAAGUACUUUCAGCGGGGAGGAAGGUGAUAAGGUUAAUACCCUUGUCAAUUGACGUUACCCGCAGAAGAAGCACCGGCUAACUCCGUGCCAGCAGCCGCGGUAAUACGGAGGGUGCGAGCGUUAAUCGGAAUUACUGGGCGUAAAGCGCACGCAGGCGGUCAAUUAAGUCAGAUGUGAAAGCCCCGAGCCUAACUUGGGAAUUGCAUCUGAAACUGGUUGGCUAGAGUCUUGUAGAGGGGGGUAGAAUUCCAUGUGUAGCGGUGAAAUGCGUAGAGAUGUGGAGGAAUACCGGUGGCGAAGGCGGCCCCCUGGACAAAGACUGACG